CCCGUGUUCUUUCUACCUGUGCAAGUGCAACUACCCUACCCUGCCCUACUGCUGUUACAGCUAUCAACCACGUCUGUAGCACUCCCAUUCAUGCCACUACAGCUACUCCCCAUCCCCACGCUGCCGUUGGCGCUGCUCCCGCCAUCUCUGUGGCCGGCGGUGCGGCCGUUAUUGCUGCUGUAGAAGCAGACGACCCUGCACUUCACCACGCCCGCGCCGGCCAGGUAGACGUGGAACCCUGGCGCCACCAUCAUAUUGACGCUGGCCGGCUCCAGCCUCCCCGCCCGGCUGGCCGCGGCGUCCUCCAUGAAGCGCGGGUCGAAGCGCGCGCCGCGGUCCGCGCGCACAACGGGGAGCGGCGGGUGGACGGAGCGCGCCAGGAGGCGGACGCCCCACACGGCCUUGGCGGCAAGGAAGAAGGCCUGCAGCAGCGGCUCAGGCCACGGGCGCGCGCGCGCCCACCCGAGCGAGGACACCACCUCGCUCAUCUUGGCGUCGCAGAAGCGGCUGAGCCCCUCGCUGUAGUGCUUGGUGCCGUGGAGCAGGACCUCCUCCCACGUGAGCACCGCGACGGCGUGGUACGCCGCGAGGUUGGCCUGGCACCGGCCCGCCGGGUCCGGGGUGUGGACGCCGGCGUCGGUGUCCAGCUCGAAGUCGGCGUGGAAGGCGCGGUUGAGGAAGCCCUCGAGGCUCGGUCCUUGGCUGGAGGGGCUGCGGAGGUGGGUGGACAGCGCGCGCGCGAGGUUCCGCACGGCGGCGCGCGAGGUCGAGACGGCGCGGAGGAAGGAGUCGACGGGGAAGGCGGGGGCCGGGAGCGCGCGCGCCUCGAGGCGCGCGAGCUUGAGCUCCAGCUCGGCGAGGGAGUGCUUCAGGCGCGUGGUAUCCUCCAGCGCCUCGUCCCGCGUGCGCGUGGCCGCGGCGAGACGGCGGGAGAGGUCGGCCGCGGCGAGGCGCCACUGCUCGACGUCCCCGGCGUCGGCGGCGCCUCCCGAGGCCGACGGCGACGAGCGCGGGGUGGAGCGGCGGGUGAGGGAGACGAACAGCGAGCGGAUGACGGCGCCGGGCGACGCCGGCGCGAGGGCGCGCUGCUUGAAGCGGCAGUCCGAGCAGGACACCGCCGCGACGUACGCAGCGGGGUCGGCGACGUCGCCGCCCUUGCCACCGCGGGGUGCCUUCUUGCUGGCGCAGCGGUGGCCGUGGUGGAGCGGCGUCGGGACGUGCGCGUACUUCUUGUCGGACUUCUCCGGCGCUGCGUUGGUGCCGCCUCGCUGCUGCUUCGGCUCGGAGGCCUGACGGCGCACCAUUGUGCAAUGAACUCAGCAACUCGGGCACGGCAGAACCGUCGUAACAGAGGAGACGAGGCGCACUUACAGCGGUGGGCAGGGGAGGGGAAGGAGACAAGACCAUGGCCACCGCUCACCGGCCACCGCGGAUGACCGCUGCCUCCUGCCGUCCUGCGUGCUACGUACUACAGCUCUGCGAUGCUCCUCUUUUGAUUGGGAUCUGAGUGACUAGGGGUUUUCUUGGGGUACUGGCUACUAGCCUGCUGUGUGAGGCGGCGGGCGCCCUUCCCGUCCCCGUGUGCCGCCGUCUGCCGUGUGCCUUGUCCUGGUGGCGACGUCGCGAUAGCGCUGCGCUGUGGCCUGUCCGCCUGUGGGGCGCUUGCGGUGGUGGUGAGGUGCUGGUGGUGUGCUGGUGAUGGCCCGCGCCGCUCGACUUGAAUGCGGUCAGGUCGGGUC
rnacentral:misc_RNA from 1 species